GAGAUAGACACGUGUAUGUGACGUGGCAGUCGCUUGGCGCCCGCUUCAUCGCCUUGGCUUGUUGCUUCUUGGCUUUCUUCUUCCCGCCUCUUGCCCCCUCUCUCGCGGCCUCUCUUUUCUUGCCUUUUCCGCUCCGGUUCGAAUUAAUGGCGGAAGAAUAGAAGCUAGGGUUUUUGGGUAAAGGUUUUGGUUUUUGUUCUCUUCGUUAAGUUUUAUUGGGAUUGCUCGAGAUCGCGAGUUCUGUGGGUAGUGCUUCUUUUGUCCUCUGGAGGAAAACUGAUAGCGAUUUGGUGUAUUUGGUGGGUGUGGUGAAGGAUUUGUUGGAGGAAAGAUUCUGGUGACCUACAAUUCAACUUUCAUGGGGAUAAUGAAGCUGGGACUCCUCCAAAGUCUGACAAAACUUCUUCAUCUGUGCAGGAGAAACCGACCAUUCAUCCGUAUCCUGAUUGGGCGACUAUGCAGGCAUAUUAUGGCCCUGGAGUGAUGCCACCACCAUUUUUCAGAACUUCAAUUGCCCCUGGUCAUCCACCCCAUUCAUAUAUGUGGGGGCCUCAGGAUAUAAGUGAUGCAUCUUACAUGGAAGCCUUUCGUGCACUGGGAGAAGGAAUGCCUGUACUGUGUGUUUUCUUCCAGCCAUGCAUAAGAAUGUACCAGGCUUUUUUUUUUGGGCUUACAGUUUGAUUUGGCACCAACUGAUGCUAGUCAUUCUGAAACAUUUAUGUGAAUAAAUGUAACGAAAAAUUUCAAAUGGCUUCUUUGACUUAAGAAACAAAAUUAAAAGAGCCUUUUGGCUUAUAUUUUGAUUAUCACCCAGUGGUGUAAAUAAGUAUGAGACUGUGAGCAAACGUAAUAAAACAUUUCAACUGGCUUCCUAGCACAAGGCAAUGUUGCAAAAUUGCCUUUUGAAGUAAACAAGACUAUAAGAGUGACAUAUUGGAUAUUUAGAGCAUGAAUUUGGGCCCUUCCUAAUAUAGAUAGGCAUGAUGGCAGUGUAUUGCUUCAUGCCGAUUAGUUUUAGCCUUCGUAGACAAAAUGACAGGCUUCUUAGCUGGAAGCGGUGACAGGGGUAGGGGCACUUGUAAGAUGUUUCAUCUCAGAUAACAACCAAGACGAUAAUACUGGUGUGAUGCCCUAGUUGGGGGGCCAGAUGGUUCCUUACCCCAUGUCAUUGAGGCCCUUCAAGCCACUUUAUCUGGGGCUCUAUCUCAACGCUCUUUUGUUGACCUCCUAAAUUGCCCUGUAUAAUUUUUUGACCAAGUGUUGAUGAGAAGCCUACUGAGUUGGGCUUGGACCAUAGUGUUUUAGGUUUUUAUUUUUUGUUUUUCAAUGGUCUGCUUUGUUCAGGGUUAUUGGCACUGGGAAAAGACAAUGGUUGUAAGGAAAUGGAGAAGCAAUAGGAGGCUGAACUAAAUCAGACAAUGGUUGUAAGGAAAUGGAGAUGCAAUAGGAGGCUGAACUAAAUCAAGUUAGAUAUAUUCUGUUCGAUGUGGUGGUUACUUGGCAUGAUCCUUCCCAAUGGUUUAGCACCUAUUAUGGGUCUAGUUGAGCCAGCAUAAACCGAAAAAGAUGAUUUCCACUAUUACUCAUAAUAACUAC